rnacentral:rRNA from 1 species
GUAACAAGGUCUCCGUAGGUGAACCUGCGGAGGGAUCAUUAACGAGUUAGGGCCUCUGGCCCGAACCUCCAACCCUUUGUAUCAAAACCUCGUUGCCUCGGGGAGGCCCUGCCUCACGGCUGGCCCCCCGAUGGACCACUAAACUCUGCAUCUGUAUGACGUCUGAGUAAAGAUUUUAAAUUAAAUCAAAACUUUCAACAACGGAUCUCUUGGUUCUGGCAUCGAUGAAGAACGCAGCGAAAUGCGAUAAGUAAUGUGAAUUGCAGAAUUCAGUGAAUCAUCGAAUCUUUGAACGCAUAUUGCGCCCCUUGGUAUUCCUUGGGGCACACCUGUUCGAGCGUCAUUUCACCAAUCAAGCCUCGCUUGGUAUUGGGCGAUGCGGCCUGCCCGCACGCCUCAAAUGCAACGGCCGAACGUGCUCUCCUCCGGCGUCGUGGAAACAUACCGCUAUGGGGAUGAGGGCGACUCGUGCCGCACAAACCUAAAUUUUCAAAGGUUGACCUCGGAUCAGGUGGGGAUACCCGCUGAACUUAAGCAUAUC